GGGGCGGGGCUUCUCACGGCAGUUUCAGCAUGGCCGCCGGUGCUGCAGCUGCUUUAGCGUUCUUCAGUCAAGAGAGCCGAGCCCGAGCUGGGGGUUUGGGAGGCCUGAGAGUCCCGGCUCCAGUCACGAUGGACAGUUUCUUUUUCGGCUGUGAGCUCUCCGGCCAAACCCGCUCCUUCACUUUCAAGGUUGAGGAAGAGGAUGAUACCGAACAUGUGCUGGCAUUGAACAUGCUGUGCCUUACCGAGGGGGCCAAGGACGAGUGUAAUGUGGUGGAAGUUGUGGCCCGGGAUCACGACAAUCAGGAGAUUGCUGUUCCUGUGGCCAACCUCAGGUUAUCUUGCCAGCCCAUGCUCAGUCUGGAUGAUUUCCAGCUCCAGCCACCUGUAACCUUCCGCUUGAAGUCCGGUUCUGGGCCCGUGCGCAUCACUGGUCGGCAUCGGAUUGUGUGUAUAAACAAUGAUUUUUCUGAAGAAGAGGACAGCGAGGAGGAGGAAAUUAAGCUGUGCGGCAUCCUUCCUGCCAAAAAGCACGGGGGCAGGUCCUAGCCCCCUUUCGGUUAGGGAGCUGCAGGCAUCAUGCACCAUAUGUUCCUGGACAAGUUUCAAGAAUUGUUGCCUGAAGCUUCCCUUUGCUCUUGGGGUGGGAUACCUUUGAACAUCUCUCCUGAUCUUCUCUCCCCUCCACCUGCAGAUUGAAUGUUUUGUGAAUCCCAGCACUGCAAAAAAAAAAAAAAAGAAGUUCAGAACAUUUUUAACACUUU